rnacentral:rRNA from 1 species
GUAUGGGUAUCGAAUGGGAUUAGAGACCCCAGUAGUCCAUACCGUAAACGAUGAGUGUUAAACGUUUGGAGAUCCAUCUCUUUAUUUGCACUUAGUGUAAAUAUAUCAUAUUAAUAUAGAUGUUUUAAGUUUUUGAACGUUCAAUGAUAGAUUAGUUGUUUUGGUUAACUUUAAUCUGUUAGUUCCUUAUACUUUUAACAUAAUAUAUACAAAUCAACAAUAUUAGAUUGUUAAAAUCAACUAUUUAAAUUUUAUUGCCGUUGGCAAUUCUGGAUAUCUGAGUGUUACAGCUAACGCAUUAAACACUCCGCCUGAGGAGUACAGUCGCAAGACCGAAACUCAAAGGAAUUGACGGGGGCUCACACAAGCGGUGGGGUAUGUGGUUUAAUUCGAUAAUACGCGCAAAACCUUACCAGUUCUUGACAUCUAUCGUUUGUUCAGACUGAGAAGUCUGAAUGUUAUAGAUAGACAGGUGUUGCAUGGCUGUCGUCAGCUCGUGUCGUGAGAUGUUUGGUUAAGUCCUUUAACGAGCGUAACCCCUAAAACUUACUAUGAUUGAGUUUCUAAUUGCUUGAAACAACAACCUAGUAAGUUUUUAACUGCCGAUGAUAAAUCGGAGGAAGGUGGGGAUGACGUCAAGUCUUCAUGGCCCUUAUGAACUGGGCUACACACAUGCUACAAUGGUGGUGACAAUGAGAAGCAAAAGUGAAAGCUGGAGCAAACUAUAAACACCACCUUAGUUCGGAUUGUAGGCUGCAACUCGCCUACAUGAAGUUGGAAUCGCUAGUAAUCGUAGAUCAGCACGCUACGGUGAAUUAGUACUUGGGCCUUGUACAUACCGCCCGUCACACCCUGGAAAUUGUUUCUAAUUGAAGCUUGUUACCUAACCGNAAGGAGGGNAUCUGUGAGAUUGGAGAGAGUGACUGGGGUGAAGUCGUAACAAGGUAGCUGUAGGGGAACCUGCUGCUG